UACGGAGGGUGCGAGCGUUGUCCGGAAUCAUUGGGCGUAAAGGGCGCGUAGGCGGCUUCUUACGCGUGCGGUGAAAGCCUGGGGCUCAACCCCGGGUCGGCCGUGCGAACUGGGGGGCUGGAGCACUGUAGAGGCAAGCGGAAUUCCGGGUGUAGCGGUGGAAUGCGUAGAGAUCGGGAGGAACAUCAGUGGCGAAGGCGGCCUGCUGGGCUGUUGCUGACGCUGAGGCGCGACAGCGUGGGGAGCAAACAGG
rnacentral:rRNA from 1 species